CCUACGGGAGGCAGCAGUGAGGAAUAUUGGUCAAUGGGCUUACGCCUGAACCAGCCAAGUCGCGUGAGGGAAGACUGCCCUAUGGGUUGUAAACCUCUUUUGUCAGGGAGCAACGCCGGCUACGUGUAGCCGGACUGAGAGUACCUGAAGAAAACGCAUGGACUAACACCGUGCAAGCAGCGGCGGUAAUACGGAGGAGGCGAGCGUUAUCCGGAUUUAUUGGGUUUAAAGGGUGCGUAGGCGGAAUGCCAAGUCAGCGGUAAAAUCGCGGGGCUCAACCUCGCUCCGCCGUUGAAACUGGCGUUCUUGAGUGGGCGAGAGGUAUGCGGAAUGCGUGGUGUAGCGGUGAAAUGCAUAGAUAUCACGCAGAACUCCGAUUGCGAAGGCAGCAUACCGGCGCCCAACUGACGCUGAAGCACGAAAGCGUGGGUAUCGAACAGGAUUAGAUACCCCUGUAGUC
rnacentral:rRNA from 1 species